UUAUGUUUUAACGUAACUGAAAUUAGUGUGCGUUUUGCAAUCGAUGGCAUCUUGCAAUGAUAUUAGGAAGCAUUUCUUUCUUUCUUUCUUAAUAGUCCAUAAAAUAAUGAAGCCUCUUACAAGCAGUGACGUUUUAGGUUCAACAAAAUACAAGUAAGAGACCCGUGAAAGUCGUAUUGUGAUCCUGCCUGGUUUUUAGCCUAUUUGUUCAAAGUACAUGGAUCAAAUCCGGUUGCUUCCAUGUGGAGUAAGUGGAUUGAAAGUAGCAACUUGAAUUUCAACGUGUAAGAUAUUCG
rnacentral:lncRNA from 1 species